UACAGAGGGGCAAGCGUUGUUCGGAAUUACUGGGCGUAAAGGGCGCGUAGGCGGCCCGCUAAGUCGAACGUGAAAUCCCCGGGCUCAACCCGGGAACUGCGUCCGAUACUGGCAGGCUUGAAUCCGGGAGAGGGAUGCGGAAUUCCAGGUGUAGCGGUGAAAUGCGUAGAUAUCUGGAGGAACACCGGUGGCGAAGGCGGCAUCCUGGACCGGCAUUGACGCUGAGGCGCGAAAGCCAGGGGAGCAAACGGG
rnacentral:rRNA from 1 species